rnacentral:lncRNA from 1 species
CUUUCGUAAAGCUUCUUCUUCCCAUACUCAAUGAUAUUAUCCGGGGUCAGAUGAUGCAUCAUCCCUGUUAGAACUUGUUUUUUCGCAUUCAGCACUCACGCAAACUUGUUAAUGAAAAAUCCAAGAAUUGGAAAUGUCACUUACUUAUCAGAUCAAUUCUAAAACACAACCAGCUAUAUAUAUAUAUAUUCCCUAUAUAUUAAUUGAGAAUUAUUAUUUA